AGAGCCUAAAUGGAAAAUCUUCUAGUAUCCUUUACAAGUAGGAAUUAGUGAUUAGCACCUCUAAUUCUGAUGUCACAAACUUAAUUUACUUGAUUUCUGUAAGUUUUCCUGUUUCAUUAUUAAUUAGGUUAGUGAUGCCAUCGCUAUAAUUUCUUCAUUAUUAUCAAACGUCUGAUCAUUAGUGUUGACCAAUAUAGUAAAAGAAAUAGUAACCUGUGUGGGUGAACAAUCAUGUUGUUUAUUUUCCCUGGCAUGGUGUUUUAAUUUUCUUUUUACCAGUAUGGAGCUGAUGGGAAUGGGAAUGGGAAUGGGAAAUCGAGUGGGAGGGAAUAUGUCUAGUCAAUAUCCUGCAACUUCAGGAACAUUUCACCUCUUAGAGUGUUGCACUAGCUUAUUCAAUCCACAUUGCACGUUUCUUGUGAUCUACAAUGAACGUUCUCUCAUGAUCAUGAGGCUAUAUAGUUAGUAGGUUAGCUGUAUGUAUUUAAUUAACCAAAUCUACUGGCAUGGAAAAACUCUAGCCAGAGUAUAUUUAAUUUCACUUGAAAUGGCUCUGAACUAUGGAUUGAAUUGUGGGAUGUCAAUUUUUGUUCCAUUUGCUGCUGUUGCCCCCGGAAUUUGCAGUAAAAUAAUGUCACGUGG
rnacentral:misc_RNA from 1 species